rnacentral:lncRNA from 1 species
UGAAAUAUUGAUGAUCCGUAUGCACACGCUGAUGUUCCUCUAACGAUCAUGGUCCUCUUGAUGUAUCGCUUUUGGUGUAUUUGCGGGAUAAGAUAGUAUCCAAACAACAACAUUUUGUGGUAGGCUCACGUUGAGCGACCCGGCCUGCUGCUGCUAAUAGAUUGCUCUCAUAAAUGCCGCCGUGACACCCAAACUUGAUCACCAGUUCUUCAAUGACCAUGUACUAAUGCAGCGGUAACUUUAACAGAACCAUAAAACAGUAGAUCAUAGGAAAGAUCUACAAACUGAACUUUUUCCCUCGUUUUGACUCGUCCAUAGUAGUAACGCCUCAGUCUUUUCCUCGGGUGUGCAUGGAUCGCCGCCCAUUUUGAUUCAGCAGCAAGGAUGAUGCAGUUUGCGAGGAGCAGCACCGAGUCAAGGGAUACGCGCUACGCAAAGACGGGUACGACGGCGCGCGCCUUGGUGAGGAGCUGCAGGUCGCCGCCUGUGGCGAAGGCGAUUGUGGAAAUGCUGUGAGAGGCAUGGCGCACGCGAACCGGCCAGUGUGGGGAGAAGGAAGAU